AAGACACUAGUAAAAUAUUACACUGCUUUGUCAUGGCAUAGUUGUAGGUUAAACCCCUGCGUGUCUUA
rnacentral:tRNA from 1 species